rnacentral:rRNA from 1 species
UACGAAGGGAGCUAGCGUUGUUCGGAAUCACUGGGCGUAAAGCGCACGUAGGCGGAUGUGUCAGUCAGGGGUGAAAUCCCGGAGCUCAACUUCGGAACUGCCUUUGAUACAGCACGUCUUGAGUCCGAUAGAGGUGGGUGGAAUUCCUGGUGUAGCGGUGGAAUGCGCAGAUAUCAGGAGGAACACCAAUAGCGAAGGCAGCUCGCUGGGACGGUACUGACGCUAAGGCGCGAAAGCGUGGGGAGCAAACAGG